UGUUCAGGUGACUCAGGCGGGGCAGCCUUCGGGCUGGUCGGAAGGUAGACCGAUCUCCUACUCCCGCCUGAGUUACCGCCUGU
rnacentral:antisense_RNA from 1 species